rnacentral:rRNA from 1 species
GAUGAACGCUAGCGGCGGGCCUAAUACAUGCAAGUCGAACGAGAUUAAGAGGCUUGCUUCUUAUGAAAGUGGCGCACGGGUGCGUAACGCGUAUGCAACCUACCUUAAUCAGGGGGAUAGCCCGAAGAAAUUCGGAUUAAGACCGCAUAAAAACACAGGAUAGCAUUAUCCAAUGUUCAAAUAUUUAUAGGAUUAAGAUGGGCAUGCGUGUCAUUAGCUAGUUGGCGGGGUAACGGCCCACCAAGGCGACGAUGACUAGGGGAUCUGAGAGGAUGACCCCCCACACUGGUACUGAGACACGGACCAGACUCCUACGGGAGGCAGCAGUAAGGAAUAUUGGUCAAUGGAGGGAACUCUGAACCAGCCAUGUCGCGUGCAGGAAGACAGCCCUCUGGGUCGUAAACUGCUUUUAUUCGGGAAUAAACCUUUCUACGUGUAGGAAGCUGAAUGUACCGAAGGAAUAAGGAUCGGCUAACUCCGU